GCCUUCACGGUGUAGUGGUUAACACACUCGGUGUGUAUUCGAGAGGUCCGAGGUUCGAAUCCUGGUGAGGGCA
rfam:Stegodyphus mimosarum contig52564, whole genome shotgun sequence.